ACUGCCAAGUCGAACGAUGAAGCCCAGCUUGCUGGGUGGAUUAGUGGCGAACGGGUGAGUAACACGUGAGUAACCUGCCCUUAACUCUGGGAUAAGCCUGGGAAACUGGGUCUAAUACCGGAUAGGAGCGUCCACCGCAUGGUGGGUGUUGGAAAGAUUUAUCGGUUUUGGAUGGACUCGCGGCCUAUCAGCUUGUUGGUGAGGUAAUGGCUCACCAAGGCGACGACGGGUAGCCGGCCUGAGAGGGUGACCGGCCACACUGGGACUGAGACACGGCCCAGACUCCUACGGGAGGCAGCAGUGGGGAAUAUUGCACAAUGGGCGCAAGCCUGAUGCAGCGACGCCGCGUGAGGGAUGACGGCCUUCGGGUUGUAAACCUCUUUCAGUAGGGAAGAAGCGAAAGUGACGGUACCUGCAGAAGAAGCACCGGCUAACUACGUGCCAGCAGCCGCGGUAAUACGUAGGGUGCGAGCGUUAUCCGGAAUUAUUGGGCGUAAAGAGCUCGUAGGCGGUUUGUCGCGUCUGUCGUGAAAGUCCGGGGCUUAACCCCGGAUCUGCGGUGGGUACGGGCAGACUAGAGUGCGGUAGGGGAGACUGGAAUUCCUGGUGUAGCGGUGGAAUGCGCAGAUAUCAGGAGGAACACCGAUGGCGAAGGCAGGUCUCUGGGCUGUAACUGACGCUGAGGAGCGAAAGCAUGGGGAGCGAACAGGAUUAGAUACCCUGGUAGUCCAUGCCGUAAACGUUGGGCACUAGGUGUGGGGACCAUUCCACGGUUUCCGCGCCGCAGCUAACGCAUUAAGUGCCCCGCCUGGGGAGUACGGCCGCAAGGCUAAAACUCAAAGGAAUUGACGGGGGCCCGCACAAGCGGCGGAGCAUGCGGAUUAAUUCGAUGCAACGCGAAGAACCUUACCAAGGCUUGACAUGUUCUCGAUCGCCGUAGAGAUACGGUUUCCCCUUUGGGGCGGGUUCACAGGUGGUGCAUGUAUGUCGUCACCUCGUGUCGUGAAAAGUUGGGUUAAGUCCCGCACCAAGCGCAACCCUCGUUCCUGUUGCCAGCACCUCCUGGUGGGAACCCAUGGGAAACUGCCGGGGUCAACCCGAAGAAGGGGAGGAAAACUCCAAUUUUCUGCCCUUUUUUUUUGGG
rnacentral:rRNA from 1 species